UACGUAGGGGGCAAGCGUUGUCCGGAAUCAUUGGGCGUAAAGCGCGCGUAGGCGGCCAGACAAGUCCGGUGUGAAAGUCACAGGCUCAACCUGUGAAUGCCGCUGGAAACUGUCUGGCUAGAGUCCGGAAGGGGCGAGUGGAAUUCCUGGUGUAGCGGUGGAAUGCGCAGAUAUCAGGAGGAACACCAAUAGCGAAGGCAGCUCGCUGGGACGGUACUGACGCUAAGGCGCGAAGGCGUGGGGAGCGAACGGG
rnacentral:rRNA from 1 species